GAUGAAGAACGUAGCGAAAUGCGAUAAGUAGUGUGAAUUGCAGAAUUCAGUGAAUCAUCGAAUCUUUGAACGCACAUUGCGCCCCUUGGUAUUCCAUGGGGCAUGCCUGUUCGAGCGUCAUUUGUACCUUCAAGCUUUGCUUGGUGUUGGGUGUUUGUCCUGAGGGACUCGCCUUAAAGUAAUUGGCAGCCAGUGUUUGGUUUUGAAGCGCAGCACAAGUCGCGAUUCAAAGCUAUACGCCCGCUUCCACAAGCCUUUUUCACUUUUGACCUCGGAUCAGGUAGGGAUACCCGCUGAACUUAAGCAUAUCAAUAAGCGAGGA
rnacentral:misc_RNA from 1 species